AUUGAACGCUGGCGGCAGGCCUAACACAUGCAAGUCGAGCGAGCGGCGGACGGGUGAGUAAUGUAUGGGGACUGCCCGAUAGAGGGGGAUAACUACUGGAAACGGUAGCUAAUACUGCAUACUAUCCGAUAACCCAUGCGGGAUUAGCUAGUAGGUGAGGUAAUGGCCCACCUAGGCGACGAUCCCUAGCUGGUCUGAGAGGAUGAUCAGCCACACUGGGACUGAGACACGGCCCAGACUCCUACGGAGGCAGCAGUGGGGAAGAUUGCACAAUGGGCGCAAGCCUGAUGCAGCCAUGCCGCGUGUGUGAAGAAGGCCCUAGGGUUGUAAAGUACUUUCAGUCGGGAGGCGUUACCGACAGAGAAAGCACCGGCUAACUCCGUGCCAGCAGCCGCGGUAAUUC
rnacentral:rRNA from 1 species